rnacentral:rRNA from 1 species
GUCUAUGGCCAUGUCACCCUGAACAAGCCUAAGCCUGUCUGAUCUUGGAAACUAAACAGGGUCGGGCCUGGUUAGUACUUGGAUGGGAGACCACUUAGGAAGACCAGGUGCUGUAGGCA